CACGAUAUUCUUUGACUCUUACUCGUAGCUACAAAAUUCCAUGAGGCAGCAGUUGACUUAGCAGUGUGGUGUUGGAAGUGCAGAUUUUUAAAUUGUCGGUAGUUUUCAUUGUACUAAAACGUGGCAACUGUGACAAAUUACUGAUGUAGUGAUUGUGUAUAUUUAUUGUCGUAGUUUAUUUUAUUACGAACGCUAUUAAUGUCAGUUGAGAAUUUGGGUAACUAAAUCGUGUUUGCGCAGUCGCAUACUGCCAUAAAUUCCCUUUGUCUUCAUUUGUGGCGUAUAAGAUACCAGGGGCUUGCAAUAUGCGUUAUGGCAACACAAUAUAAAACAUUUUCACUUAAAAGGUUAUUUAUGCUAGUGAAUAUUGAGCCAGGGUUAGAAAACGAUGAUAUACACAUAACAUUCUUGAACAGUCGGCACAGUGAAGACGCGUUGGAAUACAGCUUUGAUGUGUAAACUCAGUGACAUACAUAGUGCGUUCAGAGACAUCAAUGAGAACGAUAUACGGUUUGGUAGCUGUUGUUGCCUGGUAGUGGGAACGAAUAGUUUAAAUAAAUUUUACAUUAAUCGUUUUCAACAACGGACAUAAUCAUCUCUAUACCGAACAUUUUCACAGAGACUUGAAUGUAGGAUGGUUAUCCUGUUUGUGUAAUUUACUUUUCGAAACAACUUUGUCUUGGAGCCAUUCUUCUAUUGUGAUUUUCCGAGCAGUGGAGACCACGUUAAAAAGAUGAAAAAAAGUAGUAUAAUAAUGGAGAAUAUUAUAAGUUUCUAAAAAUAGAGAACAGCCAAAGGAAAGAAGAAACUUAUGUUCACCUUUCUGGUCUUGAAAUAUGCCACCAGCAGCACGAAACACAGGGUGAUCAUGAGUAUAUGCAGUGUGGCACAAGCUUUUAUAUGGCUCUGGAGAUAAUCAUCGACAAAGGCUACAGCAAUAUGUUCAAUGUUGAGUGGCCUGGCACAUAACAUAAUUGUCUUCAGUUUCGGCACACACAUUAAGCAAUUCGAGGGGAGUGUAGCCAAUUCUCCUACGAAUUUCUGGCAAAGUGGAUGACAGUGUUGGCACAUUCACAGCAUCCUUGAUGUACCCACAAAAGAAAUCUUGAAGGGGAGGAAGGUCAUGCACACAAGGUGGCCAAGUCAUAGCUCCACCCUUGACAAUAAAUGUCUCUGGAAACUUGCAGUUAAGACAUCUCUCACUUCCUUCUGAAAAUGUGGAAGCGUUCUGUCUUGCUGAAACAGCAUGUCAACAGGACACUCUUCUAAAAUAGGAAGUGAAUUGUUGGAGUGUCGGCAUUACAGCAUUUGAAAUGAUGAUCAGGCACAAACCCUUUCAGUAUGAUGGAACUGGAAUUGAUGCAGCACUCUAUUGGGAAUAAACUGGGAUUAAGUGCAUAGAAGACAACUGAUGGUGCCACAUCCGGUAGUUUUCGAGUGUGAGGAGCUCAAUUCCAUUGAAGGACAUUUUGGAUUGAACGAGGUUACAUUUGUGUGGCAACAACAAUGAGGUCAGAAAAAGUUCUUUUUCUUGUGUUUUAAUAUGUGGCGCAUAGCAACAGGGUUUAUUUCUAGUGCAAGGUGUUGUAAGCUGAGGGCAGUAAUACUUUGAAGGUCUUAAUGUAAUUAAGAUUGUUGUGGUUGUCCUUAUGCCUCAGUUGGGAUUUUUUUCACUGUAACUGAGAUAAUGCAAACAGUGGGAUUAAAUAUUCAUACUGCCAUUACUCAAGAUGAGAGUUGUCAGCCUUUGGAAACGUGUGUUAUGACUAGGAAACAGCCAACCUGGUCUGAAAUAAUGGAAUUGCUUACUUGUUACUGAAAACACCCAUAAUCUGCACUCAAUGAAAAAUUAUUAGGCGCUGUUUUAAAGAAACAGAGUAUAACUUACACAUCUGGCGCAACUAUAAGAAUGAUUUUUAUGCAUCAAAGCAGUGAAAAAUGUUUGUUUACAUGAUAUGGGUCUGAAAAAGUCUCUGUUUUUGAGCUACAGUAGUCUUUUCAUUUCCGGAAUUUUUUCCUGGUUUUGAAAAUUUUAUAGCAAGUGCUCGGAUGUCCUCUGUGACUUUCUAUUUGUCUGCGUAGACUGUAUAUUAUAGCCAAAGAUGUAGGAAAUUUAAUUUACUUAAAGAAGAUUGACACAAUGCAUAUAUCACAUAAUAUUGUAAAUGCCAAACUUAUUUAAGCAACUGUUACCUUAGCAUGGAUUUUAUAGGACAACCUCUGAAUGAUGAUUGUUGUUUAUCACCAUAUUUGGCAAUAGACUUCAUCAUUGAAGAUUUCUGUCUUCUGGGUUGUUUUGCUGUGUAGUAUGGUAGAUGUUUACUAACGUUCCAGAGGUCGUACUGCCUCUUGUCAUCAGGGCGAUUGGGUGGAUGGGGCUAGGUUUAUAGGAGCCGGACCGUGAAUGGAGUAGCCUGCCCCAGCCAAUGGGAGCAGGUGUCAAAUCAGGCAUGGGUGGGGACCCAUAGGAGCGCAUGGGCGUGUGUGAGAGGGAGAGAGAGAGAGAGAGAGAGGUUGAAGUACAGCCCUUGUGAGGGUCCUGGGAUGUGCGUCUGGUGGGACAUCAGGAGUUGGGUGGAUUGUGAUCAGGGCCCUGAAAAGGGGCCAGGUUAGUGGUCUGGGUGGGGCAGGUGGUGUCUCUCGAAUGCUUUCGGAGCCCUCGAAGAGUGUGAAUGAGGGGCUUCCAUGACUGGCUCAGGUGAAGUCCAUCUUCCCUGUUGAAGUUAUUGGGAUAUAAUUCAAUCUCGAUGACUUCCCUGAUUAUCCGAUCCAUGUAGCUGUUUUUUUGUCGAGAGGAUAGAAGUAUCCCUGAGCUGUAUGUAGUGUCCCAGGUUGAAGCAAUGUUCAGCAACUGCAGAUUUCUCAGGUUUUUAUUCUGAAAGGUCUUGUCGAAUACUCUUUCUGUGUCUAAGAACAAUGCCACCGUAUCUCUGUUAUAGUUGAAACCGUGAAAAAUUGAUUCUAUAUUUCUUAUCAAGGUGAUUGUUGUUGAAUGUCCUUACUAAAGCCAUAUUGGUCAUUUCUGAUAACGUGGAACUCCUUAAGUUGCAAAUGUAGCCUAUGUGAUUUUCUCAAAAACUUUAUCUACAGAAAUUAAUAAACUUAUUGGCCUGUAAUUCAGUGGGGAGGCGUGACUUUUUUUUUCGGUUUCUGGAGCAUAAUAACUUCAAACUCUUUUCACUAGGUAGGGAAAUAAUUUAAUGCAACUGACUUGUAAUAAAUCUGAGGACUGGCCAUGGUAGGUGUUCCGUGUUCUAUGUUCUGAAUCCCAUCAGGGUCAGGAGCCUUGCGUGGUUUGAGGUGGUGGAUAAUCUGUUCAAUUUCAGAUUGAUUUGUAGGCCUUACCGAGGCCUGCUGAAGUUGGUUUAGACACUCAGUUACUGCCUGCUCUGUGCUGUCGGUAAAGUUUGUGUCUACGUCUCGGUUUGUUCGGAAUAUUUUUAUUAAGGUAUCCGCAAACAUAUUCACCUUUUCUUGAUUUCUUAAUGCAAUUUUACCAUUGUUUUUUGGAGGUGGGAUUUUAUAGUCCAUGUUUGUAAAGCUUUUGGUCAUCCUCUGAGUAUCUUUUGUGUUGGUAGUAUCUAGGGUUUGGUGUUUUUUUCUGCCAGGUGUUCAAUACUUGUUGUUUAAUAGCUGUUUCAAGGUGUUAAUGAGAGGACGAAGACUGAUGUCGUGAGUUCUUUGUCACAGAGUUCUCAGUUUGUUUCUUUUUAGAAUGAGAAUCUGACUGGAGGCUGCAAUUUGCAUUGACUUGAAAAUUUUACUUCAAAGCAAAAUAGAAUAUAGCAUGGUUUUAUUUAUAAUGUCUGUGAGGUGUUUAACAGCUGUAUGAAAUCACUGUUUGAGCUGUUCCUUCUAAACACUGCGUAUUUAAGUUGUCUGCAAUGUAAUUUUGGAAAAGAUUCCUGUCGGCCUCGAUAUAGAUGAAUGCUUGUUUUAUUUUGUCUGCUUCUAGUAGACCAUGUAUAUGAAAAAGGACUGGGUUGUGGUGAGGUGUUGAGAGACUGCUUUGUGUGCAUAGUAAAUGGCUGGAAAGUACAUUCCUGAUGAUAGCGAAAUCUAUAUCCACAUGAGCAAGUUUAGUAGUAGUAGUUCCUGUAACUCCCAGGUGGAGCAUGGGACCUCCUUUCGGAGCUUUCAUAGUCUUCAAAGCAUGCAUUUAAGAGCAGUGAGUGACUAGCCCACUGACUGUACGAUUUCCACUCACCCCUGAUUUGACUGCCAGAGCCAUCUAACAGUGAAGCAGUGAAUCAGGAGAGACUUGGGUGAGAAAUGGCAUCCUCGCAAGGUUCUUUUACUUGUCGUAAAUCUACGACAUGGGACCGCCGGCUUUACUUCCACUCCGAAGGAAGUUGCGCUACGGAUAUUUAUCACCCUUAACCAUAUACUGCUGUUGUGCUGUUCCGGCGGUAGUAUUUUUUAAAUGCCCGUUUAAAUUUUGCUGUAAAAUACGUUUUUUUCCAUAACUUUUG